CUGGAAAUAAAAUUACAUGAAAAUGAAAACACAAUGGUCCAAAACCUUUGGGAUGCAGCAAAUGAAGUUGUAAGAGGGAGGUUUAUAACAAUACAUGCCUA